rnacentral:Y_RNA from 1 species
GGCUGGUCCGAUGGUAGUGGGUUAUCAGAGCUUAUUAACAUUAGUGUCACUGAAGUUGGUAUUCAACCCCCCACUGCUAAAUUUGACUGGCUUUAA